rnacentral:rRNA from 1 species
GACGUAGGGCGCAAGCGUUGUCCGGAUUUAUUGGGCGUAAAGAGCUCGUAGGCGGCCUGUCGCGUCGACCGUGAAAACCCGGGGCUCAACUUCGGGCUUGCGGUCGAUACGGGCGGGCUAGAGUUCGGCAGGGGAGACUGGAAUUCCUGGUGUAGCGGUGAAAUGCGCAGAUAUCAGGAGGAACACCGGUGGCGAAGGCGGGUCUCUGGGCCGAUACUGACGCUGAGGAGCGAAAGCAUGGGUAGCGAACAGG